GAAAUGUGAUCAUAUCCACUCCACACUUUCCUCUCUAAUUCUCCCCAAAUCCUCCCAACUUCAUGUCUUUAUUCUUUUUGUUUGUUGUUUUGAAAACACACAUUAUUCUGUUUAUAGUGGCUUUUGUGAACCAUAAAGUUGUAAUUUUAAUGAAAUUUAUCAUAUCAGUUAUUUCUCUCAUAGACAGCAUCUUUACUGUGAUUUUUAAGUUAUCACCAUAGCUGUAACAUCUAAUUUUUCCUCUUUUGUAUUUAGUAAAAGUAAUUUAAUAAUUUUGUGUUGCGAAUUUUAGUUUUUUCAUUGUGUUAAUUUUUUUGUGAAAAGUCUAGGUCUCAUCUAAGUAGAUCUUUGAACACAUGUGGAUGUCUAGUAAUUUCAGCAAUUUUUCCAAGACUUACCUUUGGCCCAUUGUCUGAGCAGAUAUACCGUGCCCUUCUAGUAGACAAUCAAUGUGUUUGAUAAGAUUGAAUCUAUGCAACUGUCUUUACAUAUUGGUCAAACUACAUUCAGAGUCCAUUAAGCUCAGAACUACAUCCAAUGCCCCCCAUAAUAACCCCACUGUCUAAAUCAGUGUACGGAACUUCAGUGAUUUAAUGUUAACACAUUAGGAUUCUAACACCUCCACUAAAGAAUUGCCAAACAUGAGACACCCAAAGUACCAGAUCACAGGAUCCUUCCUGUCUGAAGUUCAGAUGCCGCUCAUAACAAUCUUUUGUAUCAAGGAUGCUCUCUCUAAGGCAGCUGUGAUGGCUACAUCAGAUGAAAUCAGCUCUGUCUGAAACUCAGGUUCAUUACAACUUCAAAAUGAGAAGCGAGGGAAGGCAGUGUAGAUAUUAAACAAGUUCAACGCAGUUCGGCUACUUGCAGAUUUUGCCGCUGAGUUUGACUCUCACUUGGGAAGUAUUUUACUGGCGGAAGGCAUGCUGAUUGCAGAUUAGACUUGGCUCCUUUCGGUGACAAACCUGGAGGAAAAUUACCAGCUUAUAAUAUUGAAUUUUACCUACAUAAUUCAACAACCUCUUUGAGCUUGCCUGAUGUUUUUCAUGCUUCUUAAUUUCAUGGAGCCAGGAUUGGGGCUGAAGUAGGUGAUGUUUCUGGAAGAAACAGACCACUUAUUGGUCCCAGGUGGCACCAGAGCUUUUGAUCCUAAUACAACCAUUUUUAAGCAGUGCCCGGGACUUGUAAAAUUGGUCAUUUUAUUAGAGAAAUACAUUGGACUUGCAGUCAGAAAAUGCCCUCAUUGGGAGCUGCCACCUGAUUGGCUGAUGAUGCAGUCAAUGUUUGCAGUCUCUUUCUAGCCAAAUAUUAGAUUUUAGAAAUAUCUCUGAGCAUGCAUUUUAGGGAGAGAAGGUCACUCUUUCCAUAUGGUGAGAUACAUCCUAGCACAUUUGGAAGGGAAGAUUAUUCAAGCAAGCCGUGGUUUGCAUAAAGUAACAUUAAAACAGCAAUUUUCUAGUUCAUAGAUUACAAUGAACAACCCUCCCAAUGCCUAUGAUAACUUUUAAAUCACUGUCCUGUUUGAGUCACACAACAACCAGACAUGUCAGGGAAACUUAGAAUCAUCAGGCCUGCCUUUUGGUCAUAUGAGACAAGGAUCAUGAAUAGAUAUGACCAGUCUCCAAUGGCUAGAAACAGAGACACUACAGCUGGUGACCCUGCUUUCCAGUGAUCUUUCCAGAUAAUUUAUUCUGAGCUUUCCCCAUGCCAACAAUCUGAACCUCCAGAAGUCUCCAGAGAAGAGUCCCCUGGUCUCAUGGUUUAAUUCGUCUUUUUAGAGACAGUUAAGAGACAAAGGUAUUGAAUCUGGAUACAGGCAAGAAAGAGGCAAAUGGGAAGUGAAAUCUAUUUUUGCUUCUUCAUUGCUUUGCUAGCUGAUGAGAACGUGGUGAGACUUAAGGACCACCAGUAACAAACACAGGCACUCUUCUGUUAUUUUGCUUAUAAAGAGCCAACCUUUUUAGUGGCAAGUCCAGUCGGUCACCAUCUUUUCCAGUGGAAAUAGUUCUGUUAAGAGUCAUCCUACCCUAUGAAUGUACCUUUAUGGAGCAGACCAGAGGGAAAAGUAAUUGAAUUUAAUAAAAGCUGUAACCAAUAUAAAGCCACAGGGAAAUCCAUUUCACUUCAAAGCCAAGAUGCAUGGUUCCUAAAUAGAAUUAAUUGCCUGGCUGUUUCUUCCAUCAAAUCUCAAUCCAACAGCAAAGAAUUAAUUUCCUUGGCAUUUCUUAUUUCAUAGUCACAUGAAUUCUCUAUCGAUGGUUAUGGCUGGAUUGAUAAAAAUCAUUCUCAAAAAUGACAAUCUUCAAAUUGAUCAGUAACCACAGCUGGGAAGUCUUACAUUACUGUGCUUAGCAGAGGUAGAAGCUGUUAUAGGCAAUCUUAAUGAAUUUGUCAAAGGUGAGACUCAUAAGGCCAGUACUUUAUGCCCCUUAACUACCACCUCAUCCCCCUUUUAAAAGUGUCUUCCCAAAGAAAACAAAAAAAGGGAAGAUAACAACAAGAGGGAAGGUUCGCCUCCUCUGGAUCCCCUGAAGAGAUACUUUGAUGUCCUUGCUGGCUCAUACCAAGGUUAGUUAAAUGCAUGUUUAAGCUUCCAACUUGUUGUCUGAUUCUAUAUUGGGGGACCACUCCAGUAUAGCAAGAUAGAGAAACUAUGAGGUCUGAUUUUUUGGUCUCCAAAACUGAUAUUUUGAACAGUUAGCUGCCAAGGUAACAUAUUGAAGGAGGGGCUUUGGGGAAAUGAGGGGGGCAGAGCCUUCAUGAAUAGCAGUUGUAUCUCAGAAAGAGGUCUUAUGAACUUCCCUGUCCCUCCACUAUGUGAAGACACAGGAAGAUGGUAUCACUUGCAAGUCGGAAGUGCACCCAUGCUGUACACUGUGCCUUGACCUUGAUCUCAAGUUUCACUCAGCCUCCGUAACUGUAAGAAGCACAUUUCUCUAAUUUAGAAGUCAUCCAGUUAAUGGUAUUUUGUUUUUCCCACCCAAAUGAGACUGAGACACAUGACUACACAAGGCUUGCUGAAGGGACUUCUAGUCUCUAUAUGCCAAACCAUUCCUCACUGGGCCCUUUCAUCAGGGUAUUGUGUAAGGAAAGGCCUCUUCCUCUAAAGACUGCUAUCCCGUGUUUUCCUUCCAUAAAACUUCAAAUGAAGAAGAGGUAGGAUAAAUAGGAUAUGUGUGUGUGUGUGUGUGUGUGUGUGUGUGUGUGUGUGUGUGUGUGUGUGUGUGUGAGAAAUACAUAUACAUACACAUAGGCACAUACACAUACUGUGGUGGUUUGAAUAGGUAUGGCCCCCAUAUACUCAAGUGUUUGAAUGCUUGGCCUAUUAGGAGGUGUGGCGUUGUUGGAUGUUGGAAGUAGUAUGCCACCGUCAGGGCAAGCUUUGAGGCCACCUAUGCUCAAGCUAUGUCCAGUGUGGCACACAGUCUUCUCUUGGCUGCCUUCUGAUCAAUAUGUAGAACUUUAGGCCUGUCCAGCACCAUAUCUGCUUGUAUACUACUAUGUUUUUUGCCAUGAUGAUAAUGGGCUAAAACUCUGAAGCUAGCCCCAAUGAAAUGUUUGCCUUUACUUUGGUCAUAGUGUCUCUUCAUAGUAAUAAAACCCUAACUAAGACACAACACAUACAUACACAUUGCAUAUGUAUACAUAUAUACAUACACAUAGGUGGAAGAGAGGUGGGAUGUGGGAAGCCACCCUCACAUUUGCCAUUAUAAGAUGGCGCUGACAGCUGUGUUCUAAGUAGUAAACAUAAUCUGCACACGUGCAGGGGCAGUUUUCCCGCCAUG
rnacentral:lncRNA from 1 species